rnacentral:rRNA from 1 species
AAAACAGUUAUCAGUUUAUUUGACAAUCGAAUUUACAUGGAUAACCGUGGUAAUUCUAGAGCUAAUACAUGCUGGUGUGCCCGACUUUUUGGAAGGGCGGUAUUUAUUAGAUAACAAGCCAAUAUUCCUCGUGUCUAUUGUGGUGACUCAUAAUAACUGAUCGGAUCGCAAGGCCUAUGGCCGCGAUAAGUCAUUCAAGUUUCUGCCCCAUCAGCUUUCGAUGGUAGUGUAUUGGACUACCAUGGCGUUUACGGGUAACGGAGGAUUAGGGUUCGAUUCCGGAGAGGGAGCCUGAGAAACGGCUACCACAUCUAAGGAAGGCAGCAGGCGCGUAAAUUACCCAAUCCUGAUUCAGGGAGGUAGUGACAAGAAAUAACGGACCGAGGCCCUCGGGCUUCGGGAUUGCAAUGAGCCGAAUUUACACCCCUUAGCGAGGAUCGAUUGGAGGGCAAGUCUGGUGCCAGCAGCUGCGGUAAUUCCAGCUCCAAUAGCGUAUAUUAAAGUUGUUGCAGUUAAAAAGCUCGUA